GACGAACGCUGGCGGCGUGCUUAACACAUGCAAGUCGAACGGUGAACCGGGCUUCGGCCUGGGGAUCAGUGGCGAACGGGUGCGUAACACGUGGGCAACCUGCCCCAGACUCAGGGAUAACCCCGGGAAACCGGGGCGUAAUACCCGACUACUCCGAUCGAACCACAUGGCUCGAUCGGGAAAGCUCCGACGGUCUGGGAUGGCCCGCGGCCUAUCAGCUUGUUGGUGGGGUAACGGCCUACCAAGGCGACGACGGGUAGCUGGUCUGAGAGGACGACCAGCCACACUGGAACUGAGAUACGGUCCAGACUCCUACGGGAGGCAGCAGUGGGGAA
rnacentral:rRNA from 1 species